rnacentral:tRNA from 1 species
AUUCAAGUAGUUUAAAUAAAACACUAAUUUGUGGAAUUAGAGAUAUAAAUAUUUUAUUUUGGAUA